rnacentral:rRNA from 1 species
ACUCCUACGGGAGGCAGCAGUGGGGAAUAUUGCACAAUGGGGGAAACCCUGAUGCAGCCAUGCCGCGUGUGUGAAGAAGGCCUUCGGGUUGUAAAGCACUUUCAGUAGGGAGGAAGGUAGUGUAGUUAACACCUGCAUCUUAUUGACUGUACCUACAGAAGAAGCACCGGCUAACUCCGUGCCAGCAGCCGCGGUAAUACGGAGGGUGCGAGCGUUAAUCGGAAUUACUGGGCGUAAAGCGCAUGCAGGCGGCCUGUUAAGUCAGAUGUGAAAG